AGCAUCCGUAGCCGGUUGCAUAAGUUUUCGGUUAAAUCUAUGCGCUCAACGUAUAGGCCGCCGAAAAUACUGUGCAGCUAGGGAGUGGGAGAGGUACACGGUACUCAGUAGGAAGGGGUAAAAUCCUUUGAUCUAUUGAUGACCACCUGUGGCGAAGGCGGUGUACCAGAACACGUUCGACGGUGAGGGAUGAAAGCUGGGGGAGCAAACCGGAUUAGAUACCCGGGUAGUCCCAGCUGUAAACGAUGCAGACUCGGUGAUGCAUUGGCUUGUGGCCAAUGCAGUGCCGCAGGGAAGCCGUUAAGUCUGCCGCCUGGGAAGUACGUACGCAAGUAUGAAACUUAAAGGAAUUGGGGGGGGAGAACAAACCUA
rnacentral:rRNA from 2 species